rnacentral:rRNA from 1 species
UACGUAGGUGGCAAGCGUUGUCCGGAAUUAUUGGGCGUAAAGCGCGCGCAGGCGGUCCUUUAAGUCUGAUGUGAAAGCCCACGGCUCAACCGUGGAGGGUCAUUGGAAACUGGGGGACUUGAGUACAGAAGAGGAAGGCGGAAUUCCACGUGUAGCGGUGAAAUGCGUAGAGAUGUGGAGGAACACCAGUGGCGAAGGCGGCUUUCUGGUCUGUAACUGACGCUGAGGCGCGAAAGCGUGGGGAGCAAACAGG